UUUAUCGACACCAACGGAGAGGUGAACACUUCACUGGGGAAGGAAAAACAAAUACUUGCAACUGGAAACCAGACAGGAUGUUUAUCGACGACUCUACUGGGGAUCUCUAGCUGGGGAAUUACCAGACAUUUACCGAUGACUGGGGAAGGAAUUCGACGUUUACCGACAUCGAAAGAUGAUGUUUACCGACAUCAAACAAAAGCGACCAGACAUUUACCAAUGACUGGGGUGAGACUUGAU
rnacentral:lncRNA from 1 species